rnacentral:tRNA from 1 species
GGCGCCGUGGCUAAAUUGGUUAAAGCGCCUGUCUAAUAAACAGGAUUGUGAGUUUGAAUCUCACCGGUGCCU